GACAAGAAGGCGCCAGCUUUUUAAACAUUGGAAGUUCUUCUGUGUCAGUUCUGUGACAGAACAUUUACUUAACACAUCAUGAAGGCCAGUUUGGAUGUGGAGGGGAAUAGACUCCAUCUAUCCAUAUGAGCUGCUGCAGAAGAAUAUUUUGCCUGCUGGAACCUGCUGUAUCUACUCAAGAGUGGAAGUUUUCACAGAUGUCAGCCAAGAAGACGUUCCCUUGGUAAUAUCAGAUGGAGGAGACUCUGAGCAGUUCCUAGAUGAGGAGCGUCAGGGACCACCUUUGGGAGGACAGCAAUCUCAACCCUCUGCUGGUGAUGGAAACCAGGAUGAUGGCCCUCAGCAGGGACCACCCCAACAAGGAGGCCAGCAGCAACAAGGUCCACCACCUCCUCAGGGAAAGCCACAAGGACCACCCCAACAGGGAGGCCAUCCCCGUCCUCCUCGAGAAGGGCCACAAGGACCACCCCAACAGGGAGGCCAUCCCCGUCCUCCUCGAGAAGGGCCACAAGGACCACCCCAACAGGGAGGCCAUCCCCGUCCUCCUCGAGAAGGGCCACAAGGACCACCCCAACAGGGAGGCCAUCCCCGUCCUCCUCGAGAAAGGCCACAAGGACCACCCCAACAGGGAGGCCAUCAGCAAGGUCCUCCCCCACCUCCUCCUGGAAAGCCCCAGGGACCACCUCCCCAAGGGGGCCGCCCCCAAGGACCUCCACAGGGGCAGUCUCCUCAGUAAUCUAGGAUUCAAUGACAGAUGUGAACUAUGAAGACUUUACUUUCACCAUACCAGAUGUAGAGGACUCAAGUCAGAGACCAGAUCAGGGACCCCAGAGACCUCCUCCUGAAGGACUCCUACCUAGACCCCCUGGUG